rnacentral:rRNA from 1 species
CCUACGGGUGGCAGCAGUGAGGAAUAUUGGUCAAUGGUCGGGAGACUGAACCAGCCAAGCCGCGUGAGGGAUGAAGGUACAGAGUAUCGUAAACCUCUUUUGUCAGGGAACAAAGGCGGGGACGCGUCCCCGGAUGAGUGUACCUGAAGAAAAAGCAUCGGCUAACUCCGUGCCAGCAGCCGCGGUAAUACGGAGGAUGCGAGCGUUAUCCGGAUUUAUUGGGUUUAAAGGGUGCGCAGGCGGUCUGUUAAGUCAGCGGUAAAAGCCCGGGGCUAAACCCCGGCCCGCCGUUGAAACUGGCAGUCUCGAGUUGGAGAGAAGUAUGCGGAAUGCAGGCGGAAUUCGUCGUGUAGCGGUGAAAUGCUUAGAUAUGACGAAGAACCCCGAUUGCGAAGGCAGCUUGCUGCAGCGGAACUGACGCUGAUGCUCGAAAGCGCGGGUAUCGAACAGGAUUAGAUACCCUAGUAGUC